AGAUGCUAUAGCAUUUUAGUUAGAAACCGAAUAUAAUAUUGUAUUGAGUAAUUUGUGUUAUAGGUAUGGCUUGUUCUGUAUGUUUGUAUGUUUGGUUAAGUGUUGUUGAUUGAAUUGUCGACAAAUGUGGCUUUAUUUUAGUUUUCACUUUUUACCGCUAACUAUUACUCGUUAAUGAGUGAUUAACGUUGAAUAAUAACUUGACUCAGGGCGCGCAUUCCGUAAUUUUUAAUUUUUAAUAUUAAUAAUAUUAGUUAAUUUUGCCGCCAGCAGUAUCUUAACCCGCUUAGAACACACUAAGUCAAGAUGUACACUGGAACUAGUGCAGAUCAAGAUACACGAUUUAGUGAUAAAGAAAAAAAGCUGUUAAAACAAAUGAAAUUCAGCGAGUCUUUAAAUGCUAAGGUUGAUAUGAAUAAAGUUAAGCUUGAUACUAUUAAACCAUGGAUCGGUAAACGCAUAACAGAAUUACUCGGUAUGGAAGAUGAUGUUGUUGAAGAAUUCGUUAAUAACCAACUUGAAGCUGAUAAAUGCCCUGAUCCUAGAAAGAUGCAAAUAAAUCUAACUGGCUUUUUAAAUGGAAAAAAUGCUCGUGUGUUUAUGACGGACUUAUGGGAAUUACUUUUGUCUGCUCAAGAAUCUCCUUCUGGCAUACCACCAAAGUUUAUAGAACUUAAAAAAGAAGAGUUGAAAAAGAAAAUGGAAGAUCAAGAACGUGUGGGUGACAUGAUAAAAAAAUUUGAAAAAGAUAAGGAAGAAAGAGAUAAGGAAAAGAAAAAAGAAAGAGAAAGAGAGAGGAAAAAAAGCCGCAGUAGAUCUCAUACUCGUGAUCGCCGUAGCCGAUCACGAGACAGACAUCGAGAAAGACGAGAUAAGGAAAAAGAUAAAUAUAAGGACAAAGAAAGGGACAUUGAUAGAACAAAAGAAAAAUCUAAGAGAGAGUCCCGAUCUAAGUCCAAAGGAAAAGUUGUAAGCAAUGGACAUAGUUCUCCCAAGAAAGACAAAAGUCGUAGUGGUACACCUAGAAAUGGUAUAGGACUUCCUGAUGAAAAUACAAACGAUAAACGGGAAAAAUCUUCAAUAUCUCCCAGUAAAGACAAACAUAUUGAAUCGAAUAAUAAAUCCAAAACCAAAGAUCGUUCUUCUUCAAGAGAGUCUAUACGUCGAAAAGAGAAAAAAAGGCACCGUUCUUCAUCUUCAAGCCGUAGUUCGUCAUCUAAAUCAUCUCGCAGCUCUGGUCAUAAAAAAGAUAACUUUGAAAUUCAAAAGAAAGAGAAUAGUAUUCAAAAAAAGAGACAGUACCGUACUAACAAAGAUGAUUCUUCAGCUAGUGAAUCAGAUAAAGAUAAAUCCAAUGAUAGACGGGACCGCCGUGAUCGUUCAGACUCCCGUUCUAAACGUCCAUCUAGACGAGGUUUCAGCAGAAGUCGUUAUCGUGAGAAAAGUCGUGAACGCUUUUAUAGAGAUAGAGAGCGUGACAGAGCUAGAGACCGAGAACGUAACCGCCGUGAGCGAGAGCGUAGAGAGAGAGAUAGAGAUAGGGCUUUUCGAGAGCGUGAACGUGAACGUGAAAGACGUAGGCAAAGAGAAAGAGAAGAAAAGUCGUCUCCAAGAAGGAGAAGAUCUAGAAGUGCUGAUAGAAAAUCAAGAUCACCUAAAAGAAGAUCAAAAUCAAAUUCCAGACGAAAGCCAAGUAUAAGAUCACAUAGUAAAGAACGUACAGUUAAAGAAUCCAGUACGGUAUCACCCAUAAAAAAAGACUCCUCUAAAUCUAAGGUUUCUCAAGAAAGUUUGUCUAGAACACCUUCACCUUUUAAAAAGAGUGACGAUAAAGUAGAUCGUAAAUCAGUUAAGGACAGAUUAGGUGUAAGAGAAGAAUCUGCUUCUAAAAAUUCCCAGCUUCAUAAACCAAGGAUUCGUUCUCCUUCUGCAGAAAAAAAAAGCAGCUGUGAAAGGAAAAAUCAAAAUUCUUCUAGACAUAAAUCAACAUCACCUAUCACUAAAAAUAAACAAGAAGAUAAACAUGAAAAACUUAAUAUCAAGCCUUCAAAAAAGUCUGAAACAUCAGCUCCAGACACGGAAAGGCCUAAACCGAAGAUAAAAGAUGAUACAUCAAGUUCAUCUGAUGAAUCUGUAAAAAAACAUAAAAAAAAGCCAAAAAAAGAUUCUAGUUCAGAAGAUGAAAAAGUAAAAGCUAAAAAAAGGAAAAUAAGAGACUCUCCUUCUUCAGAUGAAGGAGAUUCUAAGAAGAAAAAGAAACGUAAAAAAAAGUCGUCGAGUUCAAGUUCAGAAAAUGAAAGUGAUGUUGAAGAAAAAAAAAAGAAGAAAGAUAAGAAGCAUAAAAAACAUAAGAAACAUAAGAAACAUAGAAAACAUAAGAAACGGAAGGCGGAGGAAAGUGGCUCAGAUGCCAAAUCUGGAGAUGAGUUAGAACAACGUUUACGAGAGAAAGCUCUUCGAUCCAUGAAGCGUAAACAUGAAACAAAACAAGAAGAAAGUGUUAAUAGUAACAGCAGCGAUUAAUAUAAGAGGUUAGCCUACUGCCCAGUCAUCAGGCUGCCAAAUUGUUAGCGGAGUUGUACUUGCGUUAUUUACAUAGUGCGGAGUCUAGUUGAUCAUUUUUGAAGACCCGUCAGUAUCAGUUUGUUAACUUUCAACCAACAUUUUUAAUCAAAAUGAACUCUUCUUCAAUUAACAUGUCUUCAAUCAACAUUUCUUCAAUCAACUAUUAAAGCUAUUCCAACAUUGCUAGUUUCAAGUCUAUUUGCAAAACAAAGUAUUCGUUCAUCAGAAAUUGAUUUUGGCUGAAUACUUUUUUUCUUCUACAAAUGGGAUUAAAUUGUAACAACCGCUAUCUUCAGUUGGAUGUUUCUUUAACCCAAAGAUGUCACCUGUGAACAAAUUGGAAUUAUCAAUUUAUAGCAUAUUUGGUUCACUUUUAGUUUAUUAUUUUAUAGCUAUGAUUUGUAUGUUAUUUAAUUUAUUACAACAAGUUAUUCUAACGUACUAAUACUAAAUAAUUACAUCAAUAUUUUAGUACACAAUCCAUUUAUGUAUAUUUAAUAAACAUCUUACAUUAGUGUCUAAACAUAAU